rnacentral:rRNA from 1 species
GGAAAUGGAUUCCGCUUCGGGAGGGCUUCGCGGCCUAUCAGCUAGUUGGUGGGGUAACGGCCCACCAAGGCAUCGACGGGUAGCUGGUCUGAGAGGACGAUCAGCCACACUGGGACUGAGACACGGCCCAGACUCCUACGGGAGGCAGCAGUGGGGAAUUCUUGCGCAAUGGGCGAAAGCCUGACGCAGCAACGCCGCGUGGGGAUGAAGGCUCUCGGGUUGUAAACCCCUUUCAGCAGGGACGAAUCAAGACGGUACCUGCAGAAGAAGCCCCGGCUAACUACGUG